GGCUCCGUAGCUUAACUGAAUAGAGCAGCUGACUACGGAUCAGCAGGUUGGGGGUUUGAAUCCCUCCGGAGUCA
rnacentral:tRNA from 1 species